GCAUGUGGUUUAAUUCGAAGCAACGCGAAGAACCUUACCUAAGCUUGACAUCCCAAUGACAUCUCCUUAAUCGGAGAGUUCCCUUCGGGGACAUUGGUGACAGGUGGUGCAUGGUUGUCGUCAGCUCGUGUCGUGAGAUGUUGGGUUAAGUCCCGCAACGAGCGCAACCCUUGUCUUUAGUUGCCAUCAUUAAGUUGGGCACUCUAGAGAGACUGCCAGGGAUAACCUGGAGGAAGGUGGGGAUGACGUCAAAUCAUCAUGCCCCUUAUGCUUAGGGCUACACACGUGCUACAAUGGGUAGUACAGAGGGUUGCCAAGCCGUAAGGUGGAGCUAAUCCCUUAAAGCUACUCUCAGUUCGGAUUGUAGGCUGAAACUCGCCUACAUGAAGCUGGAGUUACUAGUAAUCGCAGAUCAGAAUGCUGCGGUGAAUGCGUUCCCGGGUCUUGUACACACCGCCCGUCACACCACGGGAGUUGGAGACGCCCGAAGCCGAUUAUCUAACCUUUUGGAAGAAGUCGUCGAAGGUGGAAUCAAUAACUGGGGUGAAGUCGUAACAAGGUAGCCGUAUCGGAAGGUGCGGCUGGAUCACCUCCUUUCUAAGGA
rnacentral:rRNA from 1 species